GUGUUGCUAAUUUAUCUCCUAAACAAUUAUGGUUGGUGCUGAGAUCAUUGUUGGUGCUGCUCCAAGAGAAAAGUUGUUGCUACUAGGAAUUAAAAACAAACGAAUGGUUUGUUGCGUUUAAUUACCGAGUUUUGGCUCAUUGAGAAUGUUCCUUACUUGGGAUGCAGUGCCUUGUAUACUUAUUUUCAGGUGUGUGGCACUUAUCAGAACUUCUCCAUGAGAAAUGAGAAAGGAG